GCAAAUUGAGUGAUCAAAGUCUUUAUCCGAGAUGUUAAAAUUAUAUCCUGAAUACAUAAAACCUUCCAUUGACAUAGAUUUUGAUCUGAAGCUAAAAAAAUGAAAGCUAAGUGGGUAUUUACGGAAAAUGAGUAAUUUGUUACAUCUGCUUCAGACUAAAGUACCAAAGGUUUCUGUUACAACAAUGCUGAAAAAUUUGAAGCCGUGCAAUGAUGAAUCAAGGAUAUUUUCUAUUCUAUAUUUCCUACACUACUUGUUUCCACCUCAGCAGAAAUUAGUUACUGACAAAGCCGGAGACUAAACCAG